GUGGCCCUGGCCCGGGAGGAGGGGCGGCGGCGAAUGCUGGGAUAGUCCGACGAGCGCUGCACUAACGCAGGAUCCGGCUCCCGAAGGUCCUCUCCAGCAGGAUGAAGUUAAAGGAAGUAGAUCGUACAGCCAUGCAGGCAUGGAGCCCUGCCCAGAAUCACCCCAUUUACCUAGCAACAGGAACAUCUGCUCAGCAGUUGGAUGCAACAUUUAGUACGAAUGCUUCCCUUGAGAUAUUUGAAUUAGACCUUUCUGAUCCAUCCUUGGAUAUGAAAUCUUGUGCCACAUUCUCCUCUUCUCACAGGUACCACAAGUUGAUUUGGGGGCCUUAUAAAAUGGAUUCCAAAGGAGAUGUCUCUGGAGUUCUGAUUGCAGGUGGUGAAAAUGGAAAUAUUAUUCUCUAUGAUCCUUCUAAAAUUAUAGCUGGAGACAAGGAAGUUGUGAUUGCCCAGAAUGACAAGCAUACUGGCCCAGUGAGAGCCUUGGAUGUGAACAUUUUCCAGACUAAUCUGGUAGCUUCUGGUGCUAAUGAAUCUGAAAUCUACAUAUGGGAUCUAAAUAAUUUUGCAACCCCAAUGACACCAGGAGCCAAAACACAGCCGCCAGAAGAUAUCAGCUGCAUUGCAUGGAACAGACAAGUUCAGCAUAUUUUAGCAUCAGCCAGUCCCAGUGGCCGGGCCACUGUGUGGGAUCUUAGAAAAAAUGAGCCAAUCAUCAAAGUCAGUGACCAUAGUAACAGAAUGCAUUGUUCUGGGUUGGCGUGGCAUCCUGAUGUUGCUACUCAGAUGGUCCUUGCCUCUGAGGAUGACCGGUUACCAGUGAUCCAGAUGUGGGAUCUUCGAUUUGCUUCCUCUCCACUUCGUGUCCUGGAAAACCAUGCCAGGGGGAUUUUGGCAAUUGCUUGGAGCAUGGCAGAUCCUGAAUUGUUACUGAGCUGUGGAAAAGAUGCUAAGAUUCUCUGCUCCAAUCCAAACACAGGAGAGGUGUUAUAUGAACUUCCCACUAACACACAGUGGUGCUUCGAUAUUCAGUGGUGUCCCCGAAAUCCUGCUGUCUUAUCAGCUGCUUCGUUUGAUGGGCGUAUCAGUGUUUAUUCUAUCAUGGGAGGAAGCACAGAUGGUUUAAGACAGAAACAAGUUGACAAGCUUUCAUCAUCUUUUGGGAAUCUUGAUCCCUUUGGCACAGGACAGCCCCUUCCUCCGUUACAAAUUCCACAGCAGACUGCUCAGCAUAGUAUAGUGCUGCCUCUGAAGAAGCCGCCCAAGUGGAUUCGAAGGCCUGUUGGUGCUUCUUUUUCAUUUGGAGGCAAACUGGUUACAUUUGAGAAUGUCAGAAUGCCUUCUCAUCAGGGAGCUGAGCAGCAGCAGCAGCAGCACCAUGUGUUCAUUAGUCAAGUUGUAACAGAAAAGGAGUUCCUCAGCCGAUCAGACCAACUUCAGCAGGCUGUGCAGUCACAAGGAUUUAUCAGUUAUUGCCAAAAAAAAAUUGAUGUUUCUCAGACUGAAUUUGAGAAAAAUGUGUGGUCCUUUUUGAAGGUAAACUUUGAGGAUGAUUCUCGUGGAAAAUACCUUGAACUUCUAGGAUACAGAAAAGAAGAUCUAGGAAAGAAGGUAAACUUUUGGGAAAGUUAGGUGGCAUGCUAUUUAUGAAUCAUACUUUUAAAAAAUAAAGUUGUACACGGAUUAUCUCAAGUCACCCAAUAAACAUUUAAUAAUAA
rnacentral:sRNA from 1 species